CCUACGGGAGGCAGCAGUGGGGAAUAUUGCACAAUGGGGGAAACCCUGAUGCAGCCAUGCCGCGUGUGUGAAGAAGGCCUUCGGGUUGUAAAGCACUUUCAGCGAGGAGGAAAGGGUGUAAGUUAAUACCUUACAUCUGUGACGUUACUCGCAGAAGAAGCACCGGCUAACUCCGUGCCAGCAGCCGCGGUAAUACGGAGGGUGCGAGCGUUAAUCGGAAUUACUGGGCGUAAAGCGUGCGCAGGCGGUUUGUUAAGCGAGAUGUGAAAGCCCCGGGCUCAACCUGGGAACCGCAUUUCGAACUGGCAAACUAGAGUCUUGUAGAGGGGGGUAGAAUUCCAGGUGUAGCGGUGAAAUGCGUAGAGAUCUGGAGGAAUACCGGUGGCGAAGGCGGCCCCCUGGACAAAGACUGACGCUCAGGCACGAAAGCGUGGGGAGCAAACAGGAUUAGAUACCCUAGUAGUC
rnacentral:rRNA from 1 species